UUGCCCAUGCCCCCCCUCUCAAGCCCACCCAAACUUGCAGGGCUCGCGCUGCACUUUCCAUUCGCGCUCGAGCGCAGGCAGCACGUGAGGAAGUUCUGCUCUUCCCUCACACCUUCAUCCUGUCUGUGGAUGGAAUAAGACCGUUUCAAACGAAGGUGCCUCGCGCAUCUUUAGCAAACAUGUCGUAGAAGGAUUUCGAGGAUGUGAUUUCUAAUCGAGGAUGUUCGUUUGUUCACAUCCAGAUGACUGUUUUUUGGUGCCAUGGGGAGUCCAAAGAGAAUAGGCAGCUGGAGCUCGGAGACGCCUGCAGGAGGAAGUGGAGGCAGCGCUGCCUCGUGAGGCUGAUGCAACAUGAGGAUUGGCAGACAAAUGAAGGAUGAUAAAGGAAUCAUGGGAAGGUUCUGAUCUGGAUACUUUCAUAUCACUUCAGUCAGAGCUCACAGAUCAUCUUACGAAGAUGGUUCAAUCACAAGGGGUUGAGAAUUUGGAGUCCUGUCCCACAAAUCUGUGUGCCACCGGUGUUACUGAUCUCCCCGCGGGAGGUAACAGCCCUGGAUCCGGAGGGCGGUUUCUGACAGCUUGUGCACAUUCACUCAAAGUGCUGCUUCACAAAAGAUCUCCGCAGCAGCUCUACAGACCUAAUUGUUAAGAGCAGCCAGUCCUGAGAGCCGAGCCGACCCUCACCGGCACCCAGUAAUUAUCACAAUCUUUCUGCAGCAAAAUCUACAGCACUGCUUCUCAGCUCGUUUGGCUUUUCGGACAUCAAGUGGUGACCCAACAAAGCACUGACAUUUUUUUGGUCGUACAAAAGUGAACAAAUGUUAUUCAAGUCAAAUAUUGGCAUUUAUUGAUAUUACUUUGAACUCUUCAGACCCAAGUAUGCAAAAUUACUGAAUUUUUAGUUUCUAAUUGUCUCUUGAUUAAUAGUUUAAUGCUCUCAGCAGGCGAUUAAUUCACUGUACAAAACUCAAUGUGGUCGGAAAGUUAACCCGUGUUUAAGUCAUAUUCUUUUGCUUUGUGUGGUUUUAUUCAUGGUUUUUGUACCAAGUGACUGCUGCAAAAUAUUAGCUAUAUGUUUUCAUCACCCUGUUUUAUGUGCAUUUUGAAGUAUCGCAUCAGAAACAAGUGAUGGAAAUGUCAAAUUUCGAAGAAAAAAAAAUCCCUUAAUUUGCAAAAAAAAAAAAAAUUGCGCUCGCUUGAGGUGGUUUUUGACUUGUGCAAAAAAGAGUUAAUGCGAAUAAUGGGAGAGGGAAACUCAUCUGCCGAAUAAAUUCUGACGCAGCGAACAUUAAACCCACUUGACUAAU